rnacentral:rRNA from 1 species
UACGAAGGGGGCUAGCGUUGUUCGGAGUUACUGGGCGUAAAGGGCGCGUAGGCGGUGCCACAAGUCACCUGUGAAAUCUCCGGGCUUAACUCGGAGCCUGCAGGCGAAACUGUGGUGCUGGAGUGUGGGAGAGGUGCGUGGAAUUCCCGGUGUAGCGGUGAAAUGCGUAGAUAUUAGGAAGAACACCGGUGGCGAAGGCGGCGCUCUGGACCGAGACUGACGCUGAGGCGCGAAAAGCGUGGGGGAGCAAACAGGG